CGGGUGAGUAACGCGUGGAUAACCUGCCUCACACUGGGGGAUAACAGUUAGAAAUGACUGCUAAUACCGCAUAAGCGCACAGUACCGCAUGGUACAGUGUGAAAAACUCCGGCGGUGUGAGAUGGAUCCGCGUCUGAUUAGCCAGUUGGCGGGGUAACGGCCCACCAAAGCGACGAUCAGUAGCCGACCUGAGAGGGUGACCGGCCACAUUGGGACUGAGACACGGCCCAA
rnacentral:rRNA from 1 species